UUCAAUCCACACCUUGAGUAAAUGCGACAAUCUUAGGUCUAAGGACAAAGCGUACAUGUUGUGUAAAGAGAGAACUACUUCUCGUGUUGGGUAAGUCCUAGCACAUGUCUCCACAUGUGCCCACAUUAUUAGUUCAACAUCUCCAUGUCCAUGACUCGUGAAAUAUAGUCAUCAACUAAUACAUGUGAUAGUCUAAUAUUCAUUGUGUGUACUCACAUGAACCCCGACUAGGGACAACUUAAGAAUAACCAUACAAGUAAAGAGUUUCACAUACAAUUCACAUAAGUGCAAAUCAAUUCAAGUAGCCUUUACUGGAUAUUCAAGGAACACAAUAUAAAUCAUGGAUACAAAUGGAAUAUCAUCAUCUCUAUGAUUGCCUCUAGGGCAUACCCCCAACAGUCUCCCACUUGCACUAGAGUCAAUCUAGA
rnacentral:lncRNA from 1 species